ensembl:lncRNA FAM27C family with sequence similarity 27 member C
AGGAGCGGAGCGCGAGUCGGCUCAGCCAAUGCGCAUGCGCGAGGCGCGAGCGGUUUCUCCCGUCACAGUGGUUCCCACGGUUGUCUUAGAAACCAGACCCCGAGGCUUGGCAGAGCAGGAGCCCUCGGUGGCAGUGCUUGGGUGUCGAGGCUCUGAGGCUCCGGCCUCACCUCUCCACGGGGUCGAAGGGAACGUCUCCGGAUGCCAGGAGUCGCAAAGGGCCGACCAUGAUGAUGAAACCCCAGGCAGAGACGGGGGAAGCAGCACGGGAUCCCAGCCUCAGGCCUGCACGGACGGUGUUGGUUGGGAGACGAGGUCUCACUAUAUUGACCAGGCUGGUCUUGAACUCCUGGCCUUAAGCGAUCCUCCUGCCUUGGCCUCCCAAAGUGCUGGAGUUACAGAUGUGAGCCUCUGUGCUCAGUCCAUCCUUGGCUGUUCAAGUGUAGAGAAAUUGCCACUCCCUCUCCAGCCCUCAGCAACCACCACCUCGAUCAGUCACUAGCUAUCAACAUUGAGACAAGACCAUCCAGCAGCAAAAUGAUGAUGACUUACUGAAGGCCCAGAUGAUGGUUAGCAGUUUUUGGCAAUCACGUAUUUUCAAAGUCCAGUGUCUGAUUCUUUUGGGAAGCUGGAUAUGAAGUCAGAAUCUUUCUUUGAGUCAUACAUUUUCAUGAUUAUGAUUAUUAUUGAAUGAUAGCUGACAAUUAUUGAGAGCAAUUAUUGAGGACAAUUAUUGAGCUUUCACAAGCCCUUUUCAAAGGUCUUUACAUAUAUUUUCUCCACUUCUAACUGUUAGAUAUUCUUAUUAUUCCCAUUUUGUAGAUGAGGGAUACACAGGCAUAAAGCCUAUGUGGAGGCAGAGAGCAGCUACGUAACCUGACCAUGGCCCAACAGCAAACAAAUGAUGGGGCCACAUGCAAAUCCAGGCAGAAUCCUUCUAUUAUAUGAAGCUCAAUGUUUUCUUGUUUGCAGCUUGUUAUGAAUACAUCUAUUUGCAAAUGGGUUUUGAAGCUACUUUAAAACAUUUUGUGGCUGUGCGUGGUGGCUGGCACCUGUAAUCCCAGCAUUAUGGGAGACCAAGGUGGGCAGAUUGCCUGAGCUCAGGAGUUUGAGACCAACCUGGCCAACAUGGUGAAACCCUGUGCCUACUAAAAAUACAAAAAAAUUAGCCAGGUGUGUUGGUGUGCACCUGUAAUCCCAGCUACUCUGGAGGGUGAGGCAGGAGAAUCACUUGAACCCAGGAGAGGAAGGUUGCAGUAAGCUGAGAUCAUGCCACUGAACUCCAGCCUGGGCAACAGAGUGAGAUUCUGUCUCCAAAUAAAAAAUAAAUAAGAUUGAAUUUUGAGCUCCUGACCAUGUCCCUAGAUUGUACUCAUAUGUAUUUUGAUGUCUAAUAAGAUUUAUUCUCAGUGCAUUUUUUAAGUGAAAGUAUUUAUUGAGCAUCUACUGUAUAUCAUGUGCUGAAAUAGGCACCAGUGGUGCAGGGAACAUAUGGCACAGUGUCUGACCUCAGGUAACUUUCACUCUCAUACAUAUGUAUUAGGACACCAACACAUGUGUGAAUAUAAGAUAGUAUGAUAGAUAUUGCAACAAGUAAUUAUUUACUGUAAACCUAUUUUAUAGGAUUUUAAACUUAAACUACUUUCACCCUAUUUCCAAAAAAAAGUAUUGCAUAACUUUAAAUAGAUUCUCAGUUUGAAAUCAUCAUACAAACUGCAGUAGCAUCUGCUGGUGAAAUACUGCUUUGUAUCUAUUAGAAUAGUCCAAACAAUUGUGAGACAACUGCAUUAUUAGAGCUGUAAAAGUUAUUGUCUAGAAAUCUCAGAGAAGAAGAGGAAGUUCUAUGGUAGAUGAAUAAGAUGACAUCUAAACUGUUCUCUUCAGCUACUGAAGUUCUGUGGAUAUCUCACAGCACAAAGUUCAAGUGUAUGCCCACAGCUCCUCAUGCCACAAGAUGUGACACCUUUCCAAUCUCUUUUUGCAAAAGUUUCCAAUUAUGUCUCUUUUAAGAGUACUUUUUAUACCCACAUAUUCCAGAUUUUGUGGUGCACGCAAAGACAAGAUGGGAAGGGGCUUCCAUUUAUUGAUGCCAGCUGCUCCAUGGACCAGGCCCUGCCCAUGCAUCCAUGUUGGUUCUUUUAUCCCCACAUCAGCCAUAGCCCAUAAGCAUUAACUGCCAUUGCACAGAUGAGGAAAUUGAAAGUCUAAGAGAAUAUGCAAUCUACCCAGAGUCAUGCAGCUUGUGUAUGUAAGGGUUGGAAUGAAAAUCCAAUCUGUGUGAGUCCCAAGUCCCCUUCCACCAUAUGGUUUCCAUUUCAUUUUGCAAUCAGAUUGGCUGGGAUAUGUCUGCCCUAAAAGACAGUAAGUAGGAAUAUUUGUCUCUAUACCUUAACCUGACAUCCAUGGGCUUGCUUUUUGUAUUUGGAGGUGUCAUAACAUUAUAAUAAUAAUUUGAUUUUAUUUGUACAGUGGAUAUUAUACUACUCAGUCUAGAGAUUUAUGACAUCCCAGUCUAAACUGGAUGAUAGCAAUGAAGCUUCUUCAAGGAGACAAGUAUGAGUAAUAAGGUAGUAAUAAGCUGAAUUUCUAUGGAGUUGCUACUUCUGAAUUAAAACUAGUUGAGAUUAAGUAGAUAUUCAAAAAUAUUGCUAUAAUCUUCACUUGAAUAAUACAAACAUUUAUUAUUUUUACAUAUUUAUUUAUUUAUGGAACAUAGAUGUAAUUUUAAAACAAUAUUUUCAAAUUAUAUUAAAAUAUAUUAAAAACAUAAUACAUUAUCACCCAAUAGAGUUUUUCAAAGUAACUCAGUGUUAGUUUAAAAUGUGAAAUUCAAUCAACAUAAUUC